CGGCGGACGGCUGAGUAACGCGUGGGAACGUGCCCCAAAGUGAGGGAUAAGCUCCAGAAAUGGAGUCUAAUACCGCAUAUGGUCUUCGGAUUAAAGCUUCGGCGCUUUGGGAGCGGCCCGCGUAAGAUUAGAUAGUUGGUGAGGUAAAGGCUCACCAAGUCUACGAUCUUUAGCUGGUCUGAGAGGAUGAUCAGCCAGACUGGAACUGAGACACGGUCCAG
rnacentral:rRNA from 1 species